AAUAAGAUGGCCGAGUAUUAUAGGCGGUAGAUUGUAAAUUUAUGCACGAGCAAUAUGCUCUCUUAUUG
rnacentral:tRNA from 1 species